UCAGAUUUGAGCUGUAGGUCAUAUUCUGAAUACUAGGUCCAGAGGUGCAAAAAUCUGAACUUUGCAUCUGGUAACAAGAGGUUUAAAUGCAAGGGAAUACAACAGGCUCGUGAGUUCAGCAGCAAAAAGUGGAAGGUUGCAGAAUACUGACAACAGGAAUUCUGCAGAUGCUGGAAAUUCAAGCAACACACAUCAAAGUUGCUGGUGAACGCAGCAGGCCAGGCAGCAUCUGUAGGAAGAGGUGCAGUCGACGUUUCAGGCCGAGACCCUUCGUCAGGACUAACUGAAGGAAGAAUAACACUGCAAGCCUUUACCUGGAGAAGUAGCGGUAGGCAUGGUGCUAUUACAGUUCAGAGCGUCAGAGUAUGAAGUUCAAUUCCGAUGUCUGCUGCAAGAAGUACGUACGUCCUUCCCCUGAGCGCGUGGGUUUCCUCAGGAUCCUCCGGUUUCUUCCCACAGCCCAAAGAUGUACCAGUUAAAAUUCAAGAUUGGUUAAUGUCAUUUCCUGUACACAAGUGUAAGGCGAACAAAAUAACCGUUACUCCAGUUCCGAUGCAGCACAAAAGCCACAAAAGGUAGAAGGUACAAGUGCCGCAGGACUCGCGCCACCAGGUUCAAGAACAGUUACUACCUCUCAACCAUCAGGCUCUUGAAUGAAAGGGGAUAACUACACUCACUUAAGGACUCUUUUAUCUUAUUAUUUCUUGCUGAUUAUUUAUUGCCAUUUAUUUAUAUCUGCAUUUGCAUGUUUUAUUCACACCUAACUGUUCCUGAUGUGUUAACAAUCAAAUAUUACUCUGAAGUUUGAAUUAUGGAAAAGGCAUGCAGUGGCUAUAUUUUGUUUGGAGUUAAGGUGAUUUGGUCUGUCACCAAAGCAAAUUUCUACAGAUGUACCAUGAAUUCUGUCUGGUUGCCUCACCAUCCGAUAUGAUUGUGCCAAUGCAACAGGAUCAGCAAAAGCUAGAAGGGUUGUAAACUCAGCCAGCUCCAUCACGGACACAAGCCUCCCCACCAUUGACAACAUCUCCAACAGGUGGUGCCUCGAGACGGCAGCAUCUAUCAUGAAGGACCCCUGUCACCCAAAGUAUGUCCUCUUCUCAUCGCUCUCAUCAAGGGCGAGAUACAGGAGCCUGAAUCAACACUCAAUAUUUUAGGAACUGUUUCUUCCCUCCACCAUCAGAUUUCUGAAAGGACCAAUGACACGACCUUAUUUUGUGCUCUCUUUUUGCACUGUUUUAAAUAUAUUUCUUACCGUAACAUAUUGUAAUGAACCUGCUUCUGGUUCUGAAUUAAAAGAGCUUGGAAUUUUGUAGCAUGUCAGCAGUUUAAUUUCCUUUGUUAUUAUGGGUCGUGGCCCUCCACACCCCUGCCACAGUCCUGCUAAUUUGGCUGAUAUUUUAAGGAUACAGCAACUGAUGUGGACAGAAGUGAGGAAUAUCUGAGCCAGAAGAGAGUGAGAAGUUUUGUUUGUGAUUUGCGAAGCCUGGCAGUGAUAUUAUUUUACCAUCAUGGCUACAGAUUCCAUUGUACGUUGUCCUCUUCCAAGAAGUCCUCUUUGCAGGAUGUUUAGAAGUUUGGAGCCAGAGAGGUGUUGGGUUUUUUCUCUAGCCAAACUGUUCCCUGCUUUAAUUCAUUUCCACUUUUAAAGAAGUUCCUGGGAUUUCAAUUGAAUUUUUUCUAUUAUCCCAUUGACAUAGUUCUUCCAAGGUUUCCAUUAAUCUCUGCUACGGUGACAGCAGGAAACUGGGAAUCCCUAGAGGAAAUUCCAGUGUUAUGUUUCCUCUGAAAAUUUUAACCGCAUUAACACAAGACCCUGCCUAUCUCUCCUUGGGGAUUUCCUCAUAAGAAACAGAAGAAGGUGUGGACAGGUAGUCCCUCAACCAUGCUCAUCCAUUCUAGACUAGGACUAGUUUGAUCUUGGUCUCAAGUUGAUUUUGCUGCCUGCUUCUCAUAACUCUUGAUUCUUCAAGGCACUGAUAACCCACUUAACCCUUUCCAGUAAAGUACUGAUUCAUUAUACCACACUUAAUCUUCCACUCUCAAGAGGCAUGUAGCUGUGAUUUUACCCAGGUAUCAUUAACGAACCCCAUCAUCCAGGUCAUGCUCUCUCUCACUGCUACCAUCGAGCAGGAGGUACAAGAGCUUUAGGUCCCACACCACCAGGCUCACAAACAAUUAUUACCCUAUGUCAAUCCACCUCCUGAAGCAGCAUGGCUAAAUUCUCACAGCUCAGCGCUAAAUUGACCCUACAGCCUAUAACUCACUUUCAAAGACACUGCAACUCAGUAUUUUUUUACUUUUUUAAAAUUAUUUGCAUGAUUUGUCUUUUGCACAUUGGUUGUUUGUCAGUCUUUGUUAUUUAUAGUUUUACAUAAAUUCUAGUCUAUUUCUUUAUUUUUCUGUAAAUGCCGACAAGAAAAUGAAUCUCAAGGUAGUAUAUGGUGACAUAUAUGUACUUACAUUUUUUAAUUACUGCCCAUUGUCUGCUGGCGUUUAGGUCAGCAAGGAAAGUCCUCCAUCUGUUCAUCAUGCCAAUAGCUUCCUCUCAGUUUUCACUAAUACCAGCCAUGCAAGUCCCGGGUGGUGACUCUGGAGUACCGUUCUGCAAAGGUGUAGAAGGAUUCUUCGUUGCUGUUUCCGUAACAGUUUUGCUUGACCAGUCAGGGUUGUUGGUCCUGAGCUGAUCCCGCAAUCCUGGAAGGUCGAUGGAUCAUUCUUAGUCUGGCCUGUCCUUUGACCUGUUUGGCACUGGGUGACCCAGAGCCAAAGCAUAAAGCCCUAACACCAGCCAGAGUCAUCCAGAAACACAAGCCUCCAAAUUACGGCAAUGUUGUGCUCCUUUUGGAGGAUGUAUACAUACUUCGAUAAUAGACUUCCCUUGACUUUGACUUUGAGAUGCCAAGAACCUCACUUAUCACAACAACUAGAAAUGAGCAUGGCCUUUACUUCUAGAAAGAUGGUUUGGUGAGCUGAAUAUUAUGGAAGGUUGACUAUAAAUGGUUGGCAUUGGUGUAAGCAAAGACAUCAUUGAGAUUUUCAGAAGGUGAUGCUGUGUGAUGCGGAAGAUUAGAUUAGAUUAGAUUAUGAGGACACGCAGUCCUCUUUUAUUGUCAUUUAGUAAUGCAUGCAUUAAGAAAUGAUACAAUGUUUCUCCAGAAUGAUAUGACAGAAACGCAUGACAAACUGACUGAAAAACUGACAAAAACUGACAAGAGAUGAUGAAAGAGGAUGUUUUUGGAAUCCACUC